CUCAGCAGUCGACUGUACCGUG
rnacentral:miRNA from 1 species